rnacentral:rRNA from 1 species
GUGGGGAAUAUUGGACAAUGGGCGAAAGCCUGAUCCAGCCAUGCCGCGUGUGUGAAGAAGGUCUUCGGAUUGUAAAGCACUUUAAGUUGGGAGGAAGGGCAGUAAGUUAAUACCUUGCUGUUUUGACGUUACCAACAGAAUAAGCACCGGCUAACUUCGUGCCAGCAGCCGCGGUAAUACGAAGGGUGCAAGCGUUAAUCGGAAUUACUUGGCGUAAAGCGCGCGUAGGUGGUUCAGCAAGUUGAAGGUGAAAUCCCCGGGCUCAACCUGGGAACUGCCUCCAAAACUACUGAGCUAGAGUACGGUAGAGGGUAGUGGAAUUUCCUGUGUAGCGGUGAAAUGCGUAGAUAUAGGAAGGAACACCAGUGGCGAAGGCGACUACCUGGACUGAUACUGACACUGAGGUGCGAAAGCGUGGGGAGCAAACAGGAUUAGAUACCCUAGUAGUCC